rnacentral:rRNA from 1 species
AUUGAACGCUGGCGGCAGGCCUAACACAUGCAAGUCGAGCGCGCGUCGGACGGGUGAGUAAUGUAUGGGGACUGCCCGAUAGAGGGGGAGAACUACUGGAAACGGUGGCUAAUACCGCAUACAGUCGGAUAACCCAUAUGGGAUUAGCUAGUAGGUAAGGUAAUGGCUUACCUAGGCGACGAUCCCUAGCUGGUCUGAGAGGAUGAUCAGCCACACUGUGACUGAGACACGGCCCAUGUUCCUACGGAGGCAGCAGUGGGGAAUAUUGCACAAUGGGCGCAAGCCUGAUGCAGCCAUGCCGCGUGUAUGAAGAAGGCCCUAGGGUUGUAAAGUACUUUCAGUCGGGAGGCGUUACCGACAGAAGAAGCACCUGCUAACUCCGUGCCAGCAGCCGCGGUAAUUC